rnacentral:misc_RNA from 1 species
AAGUCGUAACAAGGUUUCCGUAGGUGAACCUGCGGAAGGAUCAUUAACACGAACUCGAAUCAAACCAAACGUGAACCGUAAAAUUCUCCCUAUAUUUGAUUCUAGAGAUAGAAUUGCAAUGUAGGCUAACAGUUCUUUUUCUCUCGAGAAAGAGGGCAACUCGAAAACCACUUGUAAACGCACACUUCCAGUUUGCUGGAACUCAUACUAACACGUCAGUAAUCAAUUGGAACGUGCACAGCGCGUUUCCUUUUUUGUUUACUUUGAUCUUAUGAAAUACUUGAACAACUCUUAACAAUGGAUAUCUUGGUUCUC